CAGUAGCCACGGUAAUACGAAGGGGGCUAGCGUUGUUCGGAAUUACUGGGCGUAAAGCGCACGUAGGCGGAUAUUUAAGUCAGGGGUGAAAUCCCAGAGCUCAACUCUGGAACUGCCUAUGAUACUGGGUAUCUUGAGUAUGGAAGAGGUGAGUGGAAUUCCGAGUGUAGAGGUGGAAUUCGUAGAUAUUCGGAGGAACACCAGUGGCGAAGGCGGCUCACUGGUCCAUUACUGACGCUGAGGUGCGAAAGCGUGGGGAGCAAACAGGAUUAGAUACCCCAGUAGUCCCUGUCUCUUAUAC
rnacentral:rRNA from 1 species